UACGUAGGGUGCAAGCGUUAAUCGGAAUUACUGGGCGUAAAGCGUGCGCAGGCGGCUAUGCAAGACAGAUGUGAAAUCCCCGGGCUCAACCUGGGAACUGCAUUUGUGACUGCAUAGCUAGAGUACGGUAGAGGGGGAUGGAAUUCCGCGUGUAGCAGUGAAAUGCGUUGAUAUGUGUCGGAACACCAAUGGCGAAAGCAGUCUUCUGGACGCAAAACUGACGCCUGAGAUACGAAAGCCAAGGUAGCAAACAGG
rnacentral:rRNA from 1 species